CCCCCCAACACACACUCAAAAAAAACUUUGUUGGCUCCCAAAAUGUGGGGAAAAAAACCUUCAAAAUAACGUUUAAUGAAAUAUCUACAAAAUGUAACAUAUCACCCAAUGGCAACUCAAUCCUUCUAUGGCUCUGGAUAUAUUUUAUUUCGUAAGUGAUACAGACUUGUUGAAUAUAAAUAGAAUGUCAGGAUUGUCUAAAAUGAAGCGCUCCCCAGGACCUACGAGUGUUCAGAUGACCCUACCACAGACUGAGCAAAAUGUCACCAUGAAGAGUUUGGGACCUGCCCAAUGUCUGGCCAAGUGCUUAAUUGAAUUGGGGGUAGAUGAAGAUAGAAUGCUUGCCCCCAGAAUUUUACAUAUAGGAGUCAAGCAGUUGGCUCUCCAAACAACGAAGGCAGCUGGGCAGAGCUCCUGGCAAAUGCACAACUUUGAGUAAUGCCACUUGUUAAGUUAAAAGAGUGCCUGCAUCACCCCCCUAACACUUCAUUAGCUAAAUGGAUUGCCCCAUUGGGUUGGGGUUGCUUAAUAUCUGCCUAUUGACUUUGCAGAACGUCUGCCAAGAACAAGAUCUCAGUUUUGACAUAGUUGAUGCUGAGCUAUUUUUUUCCUCGACUAUUAUUUGUCUAACAGAGUGCUGAGCUGGGUACAGCCACGUACACUGAGUGUAAAACCACAUCAUCAACACAGAUCUUACUUGCUAUGACAGCAGGAAAUGCAGCCAGUUAAUUUAAAAGCUGACUCCAGUUCUUGGGAUGGAAGUGGGAAAGGGUGGCCAGGAUACAGCGCCAUUUCCCAUUCCCAGGAAAACUGCAAUGGUCACAAGACUACUGCCACACAUUUUGAUUCCAAAAGUUGCUUAGAAGGAGUCAAGUCUCGGUGCUCUCUUCAGACAGCUGGCGCCAUCCUUGUCUUUCCUUCUUAUUUCCCACGCCCAGCUCACUCGUGCACUCGGCAGGCUGGGACCCUGUAGGAACACCAGGCACAUCCUGCAAUGCGGUAUAAGGUUUUGCAAUGCAAAGACCUGAGAGUUGAGCAUAGACACUCCAAGGUGGUUUGCUCAAAGGAAAGAAGGAAGGGCUAUCCCAGUGCUGGCAGGAAAAGGAGAACUCUGGCAAGAGGAGACUGCAUGGACCACUGGAGAUGGGA
rnacentral:lncRNA from 1 species